UACAGAGGGUGCGAGCGUUGUUCGGAAUUACUGGGCGUAAAGGGCGCGUAGGCGGCCCGCUAAGUCGAACGUGAAAUCCCCGAGCUCAACUCGGGAACUGCGUCCGAAUACUGGAAGGCUUGAAUCCGGGAGAGGGAUGCGGAAGUUCCAGGUGUAGCGGUGAAAUGCGUAGAUAGUCUGGAGGAACACCGGUGGCGAAGGCGGCAUCCUGGACCGGCAUUGACGCUGAGGCGCGAAAGCUGAGGGGAGCAAACGGG
rnacentral:rRNA from 1 species